UUUACGAUUUAGUCCCUGGGUAUUGCCAUUAUUAACAAGCCAGUCCCUGUAUUUUCAGAAACCUAUUAAAAUGUCCUUAUAUUUUCUCUCCGUCAACGAAAUAGUCCUUCUGUCUAUUUUUGCCGUUAAAAAUAUAGUAAAAGACUAAAUUACCCCCAAUUAUUUUUCUCCUCCUCCUCCUUCCUUUUCUUCUUCAUUAAUUCUUCUUCCUUUUGCUUCUUCUUCUUCUGCUUCUUCUUCUUCAGCUUCUGUUUUUUC
rnacentral:lncRNA from 1 species